rnacentral:sRNA from 1 species
UCUGAGUGAACGGAGAUCAGCGAUUGUCAGUUCGGAACGUGGCUUUUAAAAAUGCGUUUUUAAAUACUGUCCUGAAGAAGUGGAGGAGAGAGCUACACAACUUAAGUGGGGCAUCCCCAGCCCAGCUGCCUGCUCAUCCUCCUUUGCGCCCAGGUCCAUUUCUACAACACCCCCCCCCC